GGCCCGGUGGUGGAUGGUCCACGCCUGCUUUCGAUAGACCUUCAUCUACAGAUACAUGUAGAAGUCGCUCGUUCGAAUCGAGCUCGGGCCA